GUGGAUGUAGCUCAAUGUAGAGCACAGCGAUGGUAUCGCUGGGUUGUGGGUUCGAGUCCCGCCAUCCGCU
rnacentral:tRNA from 1 species